ACUAUUUAUAUUCACUCAAAGAAAGGGGUUCUCCGUUACUGGGAAAAUCUUAUCUGAUUCAGGAUCAAUUUAUCGGUUACACUCCCCUAUCACCAGUGAUUCUUUGUUGUAAGCUGACAUUCUGAAAAAAGGGCAAGGACAUUAAAGAUAAAGGGAAACUAUAAACAAAAGAAAUUAUCAACAAAAAUAGAAAUAUAGACGUCAACAAAGCCUAAAUGGUCAGACAUCUUGGUUUUCAUGAUCAUCAUUCAACAAGUCAAUACUGAACGGAAAACUUAAAGUUGAUAUUUUUCUACAUAGUGUGACUUUUUUAUUAAUUUGAAAUGGAAUGUGUUUUUUUCCUUCAUAAGAAAGAGGAAAUUUCAUCAUAAUGACUAUAAACAAAAAGGCGUCAUAUCAUCAUGAUCAUAGAUGCACAAGAACUUAAUCAUGUAAAUGCAACAACGUAAUUAUCAAUUGAAAGAAAGGAGGAAUGAAAAAAUAUAUUAGUAUUUUGUUGUCCAAAUGAACUUGCUUUGUCCACUCAUUUAAAUCGCUCCAUCCAAUAAAGAUGUACGGAGGAAGAUUUUUGAAGAACAGAUUGCAAAAGAGGU